AGUGAACGCUGGCGGCAGGCCUAAUACACGCAAGUCGAACGGCAGCACAGCAGAGCUUGCUCUGUGGGUGGCGAGUGGCGGACGGGUGAGGAAUACAUGGGAAUCUGCCCAGUCGUGGGGGAUAACGUAUGGAAACGUACGCUAAUACCGCAUGCGCCCUACGGGGGAAAGCCGGGGACCGCAAGGCCUGGCGCGAUUGGAUGAGCCCAUGUUCGAUUAGCUAGUUGGCGGGGUAAAGGCCCACCAAGGCGACGAUCGAUAGCUGGUCUGAGAGGAUGAUCAGCCACACUGGAACUGAGACACGGUCCAGACUCUUACGGGAGGCAGCAGUAGGGAAUAUUGGACAAUGGGGGCAACCCUGAUCCAGCCAUGCCGCGUGAGUGAAGAAGGCCCUCGGGUUGUAAAGCUCUUUUGUCCGGAAAGAAAAGCAUCUGGUUAAUACCCGGGUGUUCUGACGGUACCGGAAGAAUAAGCACCGGCUAACUUCGUGCC
rnacentral:rRNA from 1 species